GACGAACGCUGGCGGCGUGCUUAACACAUGCAAGUCGAACGCGCUUUGCUCCUUCGGGAGCACAGCGAGUGGCGAACGGGUGAGUAACACGUGAGCAACCUGCCCUUGACUCUGGAAUAACAGCUGGAAACAGCUGCUAAUACCGGAUACAACCUCCGAUGGCAUCAUCUGGAGGUGGAAAGCUCCGACGGUCAAGGAUGGGCUCGCGGCCUAUCAGCUUGUUGGUGAGGUAACGGCUCACCAAGGCUUCGACGGGUAGCGGCCUGAGAGGGCGACCGGCCACACUGGGACUGAGAUACGGCCCAGACUCCUACGGGAGGCAGCAGUGGGGAAUAUUGCACAAUGGGCGCAAGCCUGAUGCAGCAACGCCGCGUGCGGGAUGACGGCCUCGGUU
rnacentral:rRNA from 1 species